GUGCACCAGUCGCGAAAACUCCGCAAUACGCGAAAGCGUGACGGGGCCAUCCCGAGUGCCGUCCGCUGAGGAUGGCUUUCCCUGGUGUAGAUAUCUGGGGGAAUAAGGAGAGGGCAAGUCUGGUGUCAGCCGCCGCGGUAAUACCAGCUCUUCGAGUGGUAGGGAUGUUUAUUGGGUCUGAAGCAUCCGUAGCUGGCUGUGCAAGUCCUCCGUUAAAUCCAGCGAUUUAAUCGUUGGAUUGCGGGGGAUAAUGUUCGGCUAGGGGAUGGGAGAAGCCAACGGUAUUCCCGGGGUAGGGGUGAAAUACUAUAAUCCCGGGAGGAACACCAGUGGCGAAGGCUGUUGGCUAGAACACGCCCGACGGUGAGGGAUGAAAGCUGGGGGAGCGAACCGGAUUAGAUACCCGGGUAGUCC
rnacentral:rRNA from 1 species